rnacentral:misc_RNA from 1 species
GCAAACUUGGUCAUUUAGAGGAAGUAAAAGUCGUAACAAGGUUUCCGUAGGUGAACCUGCGGAAGGAUCAUUAACUACUCUCCCCCCUCGGGGGGGUGCCGCCUGGGGGCGACCCCGGGCGCACGUAGUCCCUGUCUUUUAUCGAGUACCGUUCGUUUCCUCGGCGGGCCUGCCCGCCAGCGAGGACCCCAAACCAAACCCUGAAGUGUGCCGUGUCAGUCUGAAAACAAAGCAAAUAAAUCAAAACUUUCAACAACGGAUCUCUUGGUUCUGGCAUCGAUGAAGAACGCAGC